CUUGUUGCUGCAGAAAGGUACAGCAGUUAGCUAACGUUAGCAGUCAGAGAUUGCUCUGUCAGAGACGAUAAACUGCUGCUUAGGUGUAUCUGUGCUACCUGCAGAAAUGAAGAUGUUCCAAGUCUUCUGUUCAUAUUCUUGAUUUUCCAACAUGACAAAAGUUUUUCUCCAUGAAAAUCCAAUCAAGAGACUUUACAAAUUCAAAAUGUUUAACUGCUGAAAGCGGUUAAGCAAAAGGCAUUCAAAAGAAUCUCCAAAUCAGCAAAAGUUGUU
rnacentral:lncRNA from 1 species